AUAUCUUCCCCUGACAAAGUUUGAGCGAGGUCUGGUGGAAGACUCUCCACUUCUUUUCAAAUUAAAGACGGGGUUUGAUCUCAGGUAGGUUAGAAACAAACAUACAGACACCUACUGAGCAUUUUUUGGUCUAAAAGAGAUCUAAUAGACGUCUUAAUGUAGCCUAAAUGUCUGGUCUAAAAUCAGGCUACCACAGGUUCAAAAAUGAAAGCUUUUUAGACGUCUAAAUAUAGACCAAGUCUAAAUCCAGGCUAUAUCUGUACGACACUGUAUAUUGCUCAACGGCUAUCUUAAUAUUUUGGUUAAGUACCUGGAGAUCAGUUAUGCAACUCACAGUUGCUUUUUGAAAUAAAUAGUUCUCGAAUGUUGGGUUAAAGUGCAACGUCUAAAAAUAUACAGAAUCUAGACGGUUGAAAUUAGGUCUAAAAAAAUACUAGACGUCUAAUAGCCGUCUAUUGCUCAGUGGGCAGUAACACGAGUGUGAGCAGCUUCCUAUUUCAGUCUUGUGGGAACUCAAAAGUAGAUUUUUUAAUGCAGGUUUUAAUGGCCUGGUUUUUUCUUUCAGUAUGAUUUAAUUGGAGCACACCUCAUAUUACAGAAUGUAUUCUGCCUAUUUCAGUGUAUUUCUAGCUUUGUAAGCAUGGUGCAUGGAGUGACUGCAUAAAACAGCUACAAGAGCAUUCCACCUUUCUCCACCUCUACUCAGCUGAGAAGAGAAUAAAAACAAGAACUCUACUGUAAUAUGUGGUUUACAGCAAAUAAGUUAAGACUUCUAUCAAACCUUGGUGGUCGUAGGAAAUGCCUCUUGCUUCUAUGUUUCAUCAACAUAACUGAUAAGUUAAAGUCAUAAACCUUACGCACAGUGUUUAUCUAUUAGUUCCAAACUCCUCAAACUGGUGAAAAUAAAGUUUAUCUUUAGUUGCAGGAGACCUGAACCAAAGGAGGCGUGUCUGCUUAACAGAGCUAAUCAUCAAGCCCUGUGCAGUUGACAGUUUUAUUCAUUACAUCGGGCAAACCUUGCAGCUCUGAAAGAAAUUAAUCAAUAAAUAAUUAAUAGAAAUGUAAUCACAGUGUAGUGAAAAAUGACCUCUUUACCUAGUUACACUUGCUACAGUGAGAUAUUACUGAUAGCUUUUACAAAGUGGGUCAGACUGUAUGUGUUUAAUGCUGAUAAUUUGUGGUAAUUUAUAUCAUUUUGAGCCAUGCAGCAAGUUACAUAAACAUAAAAAAACAACAACAUGUAUUCUCAAGUCAAACUUUGUGCUAAAAAAACACUCAAAACACAUUUUUGAGUGACUCCUUUCCUCAUAGACCCAUCUGCUGUGUAUGUUCCUGUACGUAAAAAUAGUCUUUUUAGAAACACACUAUCAGUUUGUAUGGUUGUGUGAAGAACCUGUGUGGUUCUUCAGUGAUUAUUAUCAAAUUGUACCAUAGAUCCAUUUACACAUUUUUUUAUGUAUGCAAGGGCUUUAAUUCUAAUGUUUAGAUGUUCCAAUGAAGCAAUAUUAUUCAAAAACAUGUUUGUUUUAUUCUUUUUUUUUGGAUUGUCCAAGGUGUCCAAUCUUAAAACCUUAAUAACUCACCCACCAAAUUCCCGACAUCACUUAGACGCCUUUUUUAGGCUUAAUCAUGUUGGCCCGAAAUGGCCCAAAUUAAUUUGCCCAAAUAAAGACACUGCAAACUGGACUUCAUUUAGACGGUCCGAUUCUGUCCCAAUUUAGCCCAAAAAUAGACGUUGAAAGCAAGUCUUUAUUUAGAUAGUCCAAAUCUAGAAGUUGUUUAAACGUAUGGUGAAGACGCAUAGACAAACGCAUUAGAGAAAAAUUUGCUUCCUGUUCUAUGGGUGGCGUGGGAUCAGGAGCUACUCAGAUUAAAACUGUUUUUCGAAGCAGACUGUAAAUGUGAUUAUCACUGCUCUAUAACUACCUCUGUGGCUUAGUGUGAACAUGGUUUUUGGAGCCUUUGCAGCCAGACUCAAUUUUUAAAACCCAAGGUUGCCCCGUAGUGGCCACCUACUGUCAAUUUCUUGUCUUUGUAGUUUUCUAACUGGUGUGUUCCUACUUCCCUUUCAUGAAAUCACAUAGGGGUGAAAGGCAUCUGUGCUCGCAUAUAUCUAGACAUUAAAUGCUUGUUUUAAGUGAACAAAAACACAACAGUUUUGUAUCUGGGCACUUAUAUAUGCUAAUUUAAACAUAUAAAUAGUAGACUUAAUAUCUACAAAGUCCACACUAUUAAACACAGCUUAUUUUGCACUGCACCAUUACUUUCAGGCCCUGUUUAUACGUACCCGGUUAUUUUUAAAAAUUGAGAUAUUAACCAUAUUGUGUGCAGGCAAGGGAAGGGAAGGGACAUUGUUGUUGCUGCUAUGCCGAAUUCUGAUUGGCUAAUGUGGGCUUGAGUUUCUUGCUACACUGCCACACACAUGUUUGAUAUGCUCUUGAUGGCAUAUAUACACGGCUUAGUGUAAACAAAAACUUUUUCUGAAAAAGUAGUGGUGUGUAUGCAGUUUUUUUUUUUUUUUUUGUAAACGGAGAGGGUUAAAUGUCCGUUUAUGAGAAAAGCCGGGCACAUGGCACAAAGACGGAUCUGUCUGCUGCGGGGGGAAAGAGUAAGAAGUCCUUCUAAAUUUCUAUAUUUUAAACACCAUUGCAGCUUACUGUUACAUACAUUACCUUACAGAGAACAAUAGCAUGACAGUACAUGAUACUCAAACUCUAAUAGGGUAGAGUCAUUCAGUUAGACACUCUGUCUGUAUGCCCGGGCCCCUGACAAUUAUGGUCAGCCACUGAGGUCAAUUUGAGUCCAGCUCUAAAUGACCUCACUUGAUAAAGUUGCUGCUGAUGUGUUGAUGUAAGCAGGUGUUGCUCCAUCAGAGACCAGGCCCAUCGGCAUGACUUUGUGAUGAUGGAAGUCCUGUCAGGCACUGUCUGAUGAAGAUGGCGCUCUACAGUCAGGCCCUGGGACCAGGCAGAUGACCUGAUCCAUCAUCACGCAGACACACCACUACUUACAACCAAUGGAGGGGGCUUUUAUUUUGCAAGCUUUCAGUGGAAGUGCUUGCGUCCUGGAUUCCACUCUCUAAACACAGAUGACAUGAUGUAUCAAGGCAGAAGGGCAGAGCCAAUCAAUAGCUGGUCUGGCCAAUGCAUCACUAGGGCAGGACACAGUGAUCCUGCUCUCCAUCACUCUGCUCAUAAACGACGACUUCUCCCUUGUGUUUGACUCCCUCAUGGCUCUGAGCUAGCCUCCGCUCUAUUAAAACAUAUCCCUAACGCAGGCUUUUUGAGUGACUAAUAGCGUGUGUUUGCAUUCGGACAUAAAUAGUGUACCAGGAGAUAGGAAGCUCUUCAGCUUCUCUACAAGUAAUUUCCUGUGUGACCAUUCAAGCAAAUUAUCUGAUUAUAUUCAAUCCCAAACAUUUCCAAGCAAUUUGGCCACAUGAUGUCCUGACAGGGACCUCGGCAACAUUUAAUAGAGCUGUGAAUCAUCAGUGUGUAUUGUUCCAUCCUCUUCUGACUCAUUUGUGUGAUCAGUGGUGAGACAGAUGGUCUACCUUGAUGUCAGUAUUACUGGCAUCCACAGACAGGAAGUAGCCAAGUCGAGUCACUCUGGUUUUGUAUAUGAGUUCCAUUUUUAAUUACUGGCUGAUUUUCUUGGCUUCUUAAGUAGCAUUGAAGUCAUAUAUUUCAUAACUAGGCUACUUUAGUUGAUUGGUAGACACUGUACAUUACACAUCCAUAAGCCAAUAAAUGAAUAAACAAUGGUAUGAAACCCUUCUGGCCUGUGGCGUGAUGAUCAAGCACUUCUACUUGAAAAAUAAAAAAAUGAAACCCUCUAAA